AUCCUAUUCAAAGUUAAAAUUAGAAAAAACUUCAAAUACUCCCACGUGGUUUCAUUUUUUCUCAUUUUAGUACUCUGUGAUUUAAAGUGUAUCAAAUUAGUACCUGUGGUUUUGUACUUUUUUACUUUAGUAUCCUGUGGUUUAAAGUGUAUCAAGUUAGUAUCCUGUGAUUUCGCACUUUAUCACUUUAAUACCCUGCGAUUUUGCACUUUAUCACUUUAGUACCCUGUGAUUUAAAAACCACAGGGUACUAACUUGAUACAAAAAUAAAACCACAUGGUACUAACUUGAUAUAAAAAUAAAACCACAGAGUACUAACUUGAUACAUUUUAAACCACAGGGUACUAACUUGAUACACUUUAAACCACAGGAUACUAAAAUGAAAAAGUGCGAAACCACAGAAGGGUUUUUGAAGUUUUUUCAUAAAAUUAAUUUUUAAGAAAGUACUAUAUGUACAAUUUAUAUUUUAAAAUUUGAUUAAUUUCGUACAUGUUUUUACAAAUAUAGUAAAUUGUAAAUAUAUUCUCUACAAUAUGAAAGUUCCUAUAAAAAUCCAAAUAUUUUCAAAUAUGUUCUUUUGGUUUGUUACAAUUAAAGCACUGUUUAUUUUAUAAGUGAAAUAACAUUUUCCCUAUGACAAAUAUCACAAAUAUGUUCCUCCAAAAGUCCUAAUUGUUAUUUGAAAAGGGCUAAAAAAGUCAAUUCGCCUCAUCAACUAACUAACUAAAGUUAAGUAUUUUGCCUAUGAUUAACUAAUUUUUUCUAACAGAUCUUAACGGCAGAGAUAUAUUUAAAAACAUCAGGACUUUUGUAAAGGCAACAUAUAGAAGUUGAAUUAUAGUGAUAUAUUCGCAAGUCACUAUAUUUACUCGGACAAGUCACUAUAUUUACUCGGACCUGUAUGAAUUAACCCUUUAAAAUUUUAGUAUUAAAAAACAUAAAAUUGUGACACGAUUACAGGAAUAAAAUUGAUCUUUAGAUGGAUGAGAUAUAAAAUUUACAUUCAUUUUUGGAUGUACAGUUAGUAUUGCUUUAAUUUUUAUGGGACCAUCUGGUAUUAAACACUUCCAAUAUUGUGGAGGCAAAAAAAAAAGAGUCUAAAAACAUAUUUGUCUGUUUGCAAAGCGGGAUCAUAAAAAUUACAUCGUAAUCAAAUUAUUAUAAUUUAUGCGAUGCAAUAUUUUUUAUAAAUACAAACAUAAUAUUUUUCAAUCGCGGUUCAUAACCACCCUUCCAGAACUUCCAGAAAUACCAGAUGGGGUCCAAUGGCCUAGUUUUGUAUUGGUUGUAGAAAGUUCUUGCAUUUGUAUUCUAGAUUACACUUUUUUUUUUUCAGUAUUAUUAUUUACAUUAUUGUAUUAAUUGAAUUUCUUUGUCUUUUAUUAGUUAUUACAGAAUAAAAGCAUAUACUUUUUUAGGAACAUAAUCCCUUACCUAACAUCUUCUUUUCCCCUCUACUUUAUUUUUCUUUUUUUGACCUUUUUUGUUUCCUACCCCACUUUCACUGGUGCCACAGAUUCCAUACCAACUGCCAUCUCCAGUCAUCCAAAAAAAAAAAGGGGGUAAAAAAAAAUAAAUAAAUCUCCAGAUGGGUCCAGAGACUCCAGGCCACAUAAAAACUGCACUAAAACCUAAUCAUAUAAUUCAAUUCUUUUUAUAUAUUUAUAUUAUAUAUAAAAGCAUGUAUUUUCAAUUUUAAUCCGUUGGUGGAUUCAUUUCAAAAUUUAUCUUUUUUUGUACACAAAAUAAAUAAUGUAACGAAACAAACUUUUAGUUCCUCUUUUUUCUCCAACUAUUAAUAUUGUAUUUUUUUUAUUAAAUAUUUUUAUUGUUCAAUAUUUUGUUUUAAGAUAAAUAUUUAUAAUAUUAUCUCUAUUCUAUCUACUAAUAUUUUAUUAUUUAUAUUAACUUUUUAAUUUUGAUACAUUUAGUUUGAAUAUAUAUUUAAAUUUUGAAUUUGUGAGAAUUAAAAAAUAUAAAAAAUAUUCGAUGUAUAUCUAUAUCUUACACUAUAUAUAAAUUUUAUAAAAUAAAAAAUAAAACUAUAUAAUUAUUGUUGGUAAUAACUAUUUAAAUUUGAUUUGGAAUAUGAUAGAAAUUUUCUAAUAGUAUAUAAUAAAUAAAUUUAUUUUUUUAAAUUUAAAUUUUAUUUUGUAAAUUUUUGAAUAAGCAUGAUGUACAAAUUUAUAUUAAUUUGAAAUAGUUAUUAAAGUAUUUGUUACAUGCAUUUGCCUGUAUACUCAACUAGUAUGUGUGUGUAUAUAUACAGUAUUAAGAUAAUAUAAAAAUAUUUCAUCUAAAAAUAUUUUUUACACCAAACUACCUUAUAUAUGUGUAUUUACAUGUGCACUCCACUAAAAAUUCUAAUGGAAGCUCACACCUUGUAAAAAUAGCCUAUAUUAGUGUUUCUAUAUCUCAAAAUUUAUGGUAACAAAUAGCUCAUAUCUUUGUUUGUCCUUCAACUUGUAAUUUGCAUAAGCAACUUAGAAGGAUAUAUAGUUUAUUUUAAUAACUAUACAAUACACAAAUUCCUAAAAAUAUUAUAUAGUCUAUAUCAAUUUGCUACCUAUAGUUGAACCUAACCAAUCUUCCAAGAAGUAAUGACCCAAUGAAGUAUAUUAUAUAUAAUGACUAAUGUUAUGUGUGACACACCAGAAUUUAGAACAGUGUAAUAUAAGAUAUAACAAGGCCAAACAUCUUAAUCCGUCUAUAGUAUUUUGGGCGGUGGAUUGACCUAAAAGAAUAAAAUGGUUACACAUGCUAGGAUUAGAAUAGUUAUAGAAUGAGUGACCUUUUUGGAAAAGUGGGAUGUCACAGUUAGGCCCGCUCCUAAAAAUUAAGAGGAUUAAAUAUAUCAAGGUUGAAGUAGUUUUAGGAUCAGUAAUCUUUUAGGAAAGCAAGGCCAUCAUAGUCGGAUCUGCUCUUAGAACUAAAGAAGGUUAAAUGUGUCAGGGUUAGAGUAGUUUUAGGGUAGGUGAUCUUUUUUGGAAGCAGAUGGGUCCGCCCCAAGAAAUUAAAAGGGUACUUGAGCGUGUUAAGACUAGAGUAGUUUCAAAAUAGAUGAUCUUUAUGAAAAGCAGGGUGCCACGUUAUGGAUGUAACACUUUAAUCGAUGUACAUGAAUACCAAAUUCUUAGUGUUUUUCAAAACACCAUAACCGGACUCUCUCUCUCUCUCUAUAUAUAUAUAUUAAUGAGAUCGAUGCAUCAUGAGCGUGUGCUCAUAGUACAUCAGGAGUCCGACGCGAGUACACAAGGCUUAUAACCAUAUGUCCCCACAUGUGAUACAUAAUUUAUAAUGCAAAAAAUUUUAAUUGAUUCAUAUUCGCAACAUGAAACGUUACAUAAAAAUUGCACCCAAAAAAAAAAAGUUCCCAAGUGCAAAUUCUAAGUUGGGGCACAUUUUAUUUUUUUAAGAUACCCACUUGGCCACUUGUAAAAAUUAAAAACAAUGAUAAUAAAAUGUAACUAACACCAACUAAUGCAGUGUUUAUCUACAGCUAAGAAGCCCCACGUGUUUGACCAUUCACCGUUCCAUCGUUUUUAUAUGACAACGAGUUUCCUCAUGCCACUAAACAAUAUUAUUAUCAUUCAUAUUGUUAUAGAUGUUGCCUAAUAUAAAAUCAAAAAAAAAGGAUCUAGUUUUAUAAUUUUGUAGAAAAUAGAAAGCUUUUGAUUUAGAAAUAAUUAAGUUCAAUCAAAAAGGUGCAGAUAAUUAAUUUAUGUCAGUCAACAAUAAUCAUUAUUUUUUUUAUUGCAUAAAAGUACGAAUAAUUUUUUACUUUUUAUUUUACAUCACGUCAAAAUGAUGAUGUUAUAAUAAUAUUCUCGAUUUCAGACGAUCUGAAGUGACAUGACUUAAUAUGAUUGGUGAGAGAAAGAGGGAAACUUACAGGGACGCUGGAGAAGCGGGGGUGGCGGGCGAGGGUGGCGGCGAGGCCGGCCUUGAUGGUGUCGAGGUCGUCGAUUCGCCUCCCGAGGCCGAUGACGGCGAUGAUGUAGCAAUUGAACUCUGGCCGGUGGAAGAGCCGCCCCGCGGGGCUCACCGGCUCCUCUAACUCCUCCGGCUCCUCCGCUGCCUCUGCGGUGGUGGCGGCGGCACUCAUGGUGUUGAUGGAGAGGGGCCGACGGUUUCGGAGAGUUUCCGAGGGCAUCGGAGGAUUUCAGGUUUCGAAAUUAGAAUUUCAAAAGAAAAGGAAAGGGGAAUGAAUCUCUAUGGAGAUGUAGUAGUAGUAGUAGUGGAGGGGGUUUGGGGAGGGAGAGAUAUUACUUUUAUUUAUUUAUUUAUUUUAUAGAUGAGGUGAAAUUACGAAAAUGCCCCUGUUGACGCUGAAUUUGCUAUCAAGAGUUGGACUUUGCGUAGAGAGAUGGGAAGAGAGUUGAGAGAGAAAUGAUAGAAUUUUAAAAAUUAUAUUUUAUUAUGAAAUAAUAGAAAAUAAAUCUCUGAACAACAACUAUCUAUUUCGUAUGAUAACAGUUAUAAAUCUCUGAAAAACAACUACCUAUUUCGUAUGAUAACUUUUCAGAGGCCGUCGCUUCCAUUCUGUACGCUUAAUUCAUCCCACCUUAUAAAUGAAACAGAUAGUUUGCUACAUUUUUCUCAAAAAAAAAAAUUAUGAACUUUCGAUGCAUUAAAACACUGUUCGAUUAAUUUAUGCACGUGAUACAAAAUACUAUAUAUAUUUGCAAAUAUAUUAAUAUUAAAUAAGUUAUGAAAAUAUCUUAAGCAAUAUUUGUUUGAAAUUACGAAGAGAUUACAUUACGUGUGAUGAGAAAGUACAAUAGAAAAAUAUUCUAUUUAUUUUAGUACGUAAUAUUAUAUUCCGCAUAUUGUAAUUAGUCGGUUACGAUAUAUUUUUUACGGUCCCACUAGAAAAUGCAGAAGUAUAUCUCUAUAUAUUUUUAUCCCAACUUUAUUUUAUCUAUCUAAUAGCGUUAGAUGAAUCUCAACACCAAACUAAGUCUAAAACGGAAUUGGAAAAAAAUGUAUAUACAAACUAUUUUUAGUAAAUUGUAAAAAAAAUACUUUAAUUAAGGGACAAUUUCAAACUUAUCUUUCUAAAACUUUAAAAAUAUUAUAAAUAUUCCCCCAAAGUUGAAAAUAUUAUUAGACGCUCCGUUGAAGAUACAAAUCUAUCACCAGUACACUCUCAUAUAUACAAAUUCACUCAUAAUACUUUUUUAAAAAGAAUAAUAUCUAAUAUACUUUUUAAAAUUUAUAAAAAUAUCUAAUAUAUUUUCGGUGUACCAAAAUGUGCUUAUGAAUUUCUAAAAAAAUUUUCAAAUAUUUUCAAACCUUUUUGGAGUUUACAAAUAAAAUUUGAGGUUUAGAAGUAUAUUUUAGUAACUUCAGAAUAAACUUAAUAGUUUUGAAUAAUAAUUAGAGAUAAAUAAGUAAUUUUUUUUAAAAUUUAGAAAAAUAUUUAUUUAAUUGGAUGCGUUUUCUAUUACACUUUCCCGAAGAAAUUGUGCUGGUCCAGCGUGUGCCACGUGUCAUCCAGCGUGUGGCUACUGUUAUCAACGCCGGGGUAGACGUGCAAGCCGCAACAUGCGCAAUUAGUGCCGCGCCAAUCUAGCCAAUCAACGGCCGUGAUUGGACGCCGGAUUAUGGGCGGUGGAUCCCACGGUGUUCCUUGGAUUCCUCAAUUGGGAACAAAAAAAAUAAAUCUCUUUCGUAACAGCGACGCAACCACAUGCAAUCAAGAAGCUAUGUGAUAAUUAUAUAUUAAAAUAAUAUUUUUUUAUAAUAUUAAGAUAUUUAAUUAGAUACUGUAAAUUUUAGAUGUUAUGUUAUAAUUCAUUAACUUUACAAUAUAGAUCUAAUAAAAGGUUCAAAUACGCAGGAUUCGAAGUUACAUUGAAGAUAGAGAGAGAGAGAAGAAGACAAAAAAAAAAAAAAAAAAAAAAUUGCACAGACAAAACAGGAACAAUUGUAUAAUAGUUUAUAAUUCAAACAUAAUAUGAAAAAAAAAAAAAAUCACACCCCUGGUUGAUAUGAUAUGCAGAGCUUGCUUUGCAUCUUCAUGUAAUUGUUUCUUUAGGAGGAAUUACAUCAUUUUGUUCCAAGAAAAUGGGAGGAGCUCCCAGUGCGAUCGCCAUGCUGUUACCGACCGUCCCUAGAGCAAGUGGCAAAGGACUUGAUGGUUGGUACCCGAGGUCCCAAGUUCGAAUCCUAGUUGAUUCAUAUUCCAGCUAAGUUUAUUUCUAAGUGAAAUAAACGAAGCGGGUAGUGUGCUACCAAUCUCUCUUAAAAAAAAAAAAAAAACUUUGGGAGAGUAGCCGCAUGAGCGCUGACGAUUGCAGCGGGCAAUGCCGUCUCAGUUCCGAAAAGCGACAGCUAGGUAUUUGAUAAAUUAAAAGCGCAAACAAGCAGAAGCUCCAAUUGAAAACUUCUGCUCCUGCUAUUGCGGGAAGAUGUUAAGGAGAAUACCAGGAAAGACAGUCGAAGGAAGCUUGUCUGCACAGCUUUACUCAAAAGCACUUCUGUUGUAGCUCGAGCAAUUUUGUCAGCUUUGUUAUCGAGCCAAGCUAUACUUGAGGAGUCAUAAAGCAGGCAAAAAGUUGGAAAUACAAGAGGCAGUCCUGCAAAUGUAUUCAAAACAGUAACCUGUGAAUCAUUCAAAAACUCUGUGAUGCAAAUAAUAACAAGAAGGGAAAAAAAAUUACAGAAAAAUAAAAAGAACCCUGCAAAUGAAUGUCAAAAGAGAACAUAAAGAAGCUCGAAAAGAAUGCAGGCGAGGAGGGAUGAUCAAUUAACAUGCUCGGUAGGAUUUAUACAUGCGAUAGUGUACCUCUGGACAUUCAUUUUUGAUACUUUUGAUUAUCUCGGUAUUUAUACUUAGGAAACAGAUUAAAAUUUAACACUUGCCGAUCAAACGGUGAAACUAAAUCAUAUCUUCGUGCGUGUUAGAAGACUCUGAUUAGCCGCUUCCAAGUGAAACAAUAAAACCUAUGCAAUUACUUGAACAAUGCCUAAUGAACUAUUACAUAAAAGCAGUAUUUUAAAAGUAUACUUCUAGGAUACAACAUUUAUACCAAGAAAGAUGUGCUUACAGCUUCUACAUGCUGGCCUUGAAGAUAUUAUUUCAUUUUUAUAUGGAGUACUGAUCAAUUUUUUCAUAGUUUACCAAGAGGUUAUUAUAUUAUACUCUGGUUUGAAUGAGAUGUAAUAAAGUGAGCAAGCAUCAUUGAGAAAGUAAAAUGGCCUGUUUCGAGCUAGUUAACAAAAUAUAUGCAAAUCAAUAGCAAGUUCCGCAUCACUAGACUACCUAAACCCAUAAAUUUUGAUGUGCAAACCAAAAGAAUUCACGAACAGACCUGGCCGUAGCUUCCACUUGGCUUGGCGAAAUUUGUCACGGAGCGUAGAAGCAGCAACAAAGAGCUAUCUCCGCCUCAAGCUCAUGCUCUUCUUUUUCUGGCUUAUCGCGAAACGCCUAGCCAUGGCGACAUUAUAGAACUUCCUCAUAUGCUCCGAAACCCGAUGUAUAGCAUUAAGAUUUCCAAUAGCCGAAAGCCGCAACAAAAUACCAUCGAAUUGCUUAUAUGGCAAUUUCAGCCCACGAUCCAUCACCUCUUCUAAAAGAGAGCAUGCAUUGUCUACUCUGCCCGAAUCAAACAAUCCAUCUAUCAUUAUCCCAUAUGAAUCCACAACCCGCUCACAUCCUCUCUUAUCCAUCUCUAGCCACACGUCAAUCGCCCUAUCUGUCUCUCCCAUAUCAAAAAACAUCAAAAUCAACAUAUUAUAAGUAUGAACACUUGGCUCACAACCCACAACUACCAUCCUCUCACAAAGCCUUAAAGCUUCUUCCGCCCUUUUUAGGUUGCAAAGAAUUUUUAAAAAGCAGUUGUAUGUGAGGAUAUCGGGUGGGAAGCCCGUCUUACCCAUUUCAUCUAACACCUUAUAGGCGGCAUCGAUCUGGCCAGCUAGGCACAUCCCUUCGAUCAUUUCCUUGUAUGUCGAAACGUCAGGGAGGCAACCACUCAUUCUCAUAUCACCAAGAAGUCUAAAGCUUUCCUCUACCAUAUCAUACUUCGCGAGAGCUAUAAUCAUGAUCGAGUAAGUCUUGGCGGUGGGAGAAGAUAUAGUUGAUCCUUUCGUUCUCAUAAACUCAAAUAGCUCUCUCGCUUCAGAGACCAUCCCAGCACUACAGAAAGAGUCGAUCGCCGCAUUGUAUGUGAAAUUCUCGGGAGUGUGACCCCUUUCGAGCAUUUCCUCAAGCACCUUCAUUGCCUUCUUGGGAUCUCUAACUCUACACCACCCGAAAAACAAAAUAUUAUACGUCUCUGCAUUAGGAACAAGCUUAUUCUUCACCCUAUGAAACAUUAACUCAGCCUCCUUCACCAAACUACACUUGCACAAAGCAUCCAGCAGUAUAUUAAAGGCGUCGAUCUCCGGCGGAGUCUUCAUCCUAAUUCUCUUCUUCUUCGCGAAUUUCCUCAGAUGAGUCAAAUGCUUUUCGGCGUACGUCUUCAAGAUGGUUAGUAGGCCAUCGAGGGGGACCGAAUUCUUGUUUUUCCUCUUCAUGUGAUCCAAAAUAUCGCAAACAAUUCCGAAUUGCCGGGCCUUGUAUCUCGUGCUGGACAAUAUAUCUAUCAUAUCGUUAUACGUCUGCGGUUCGUGCUCGUAGCCUUCUUGGUGGCCCACCCAAGUGAAGAACCUAAAAGCUAAUUUCUCCUCAUAGCGGAGUCUAUUGAGAACAUCGUUUACGAGCUCGGUGGUUAGUUCUAUGUUGAGAGAGUCGAGAGUUUUCUCUAAGUUUUGGUCGGAAGAACAGGUCGAGAUUAUAGCUUCAUAUACUCUAUCCGAAUCGGAAACCAACCGACUUUCUUGAGAAAUAGUUGAAGUACAUUUAUUGGGUUCAUCCAAAAUGAGGAAAUCCGACGAAUUUACGCAAGAAAAGGAUCUAAUUGCAAAACUAGAUAUUGAAGUACAAUAUUGAUUGCGAUUUGUGAGAUAAUUAGAAGACCCAAAUGGGGAUCUAGAAAGAGCAAAAAGUUUGUUUGAAUUCGAAAAAGCAAGCAAUGACGAUGAAGUGGAAGGAGAACAAGAUGGUAAAUUUUUGGUAGAAUUAAAAGGAUGGGGCAAAUUUGAUGGGAUCAAUGAACUGUCGAGUGCCCGCGAACACCGACAAAGGCGAUGAAAUGUGAUAAAAGCUGGGGAAAAUCGUUUGUGAUUCAUUAGAUUGAUACCCCAAAUAAUUAAAGCAGGAUUAUCAUCUAUAAUCUUAUACUUCUUUAAAAAAAUUUCCUCAUCUCCACAAUGAAUUGCACAGGGAAUAUAUUUCAGAUAAAAAAAUGAAAACUUUUCCAAAAAAAAAAAAAAAAAAACCGUGUGAAUGAAAACCCUACUCGAUCUUGCACCAGAAAAGCUUAAAAUUUUGAGGAAUCGAGCGGGAACCAAACUCCAACGAAGCAGAUCACGAUCAAACAGGUGUAAAUAUCACCGAUUUAUCACCAAUUAGGGUAAGAAAAGGGAUUAGGGUUUUGGGGAAUUACCGCGAGGAGGAGGGAUUUCGAAGGAGAUUUUCCGAGGAAGUUGAUGAUGAGCGGGAGAGCCGUAGCGCAACUUAGGGCUCAUGUGAGGUCAAAAUAUACGGAGCCCCCUCAACUAUAGACAAUUCUGAAAAUGCCCCUCAGCUAAUUUUCUUAUUAAGGCUUUUAAUUUUAGUAAAUGGAAUUGAAUAAAAUAUAUUAAUUUCGAAUUAAUUAAUAAGUUUAUCAUAAAAUUUUUCUUAACUUAACUAGGGAAAAAAAGUAAAUAAAUUAAAAAAAAAGAAAUCGAGAAAUCGCAAAAAAAAAAAAAAAGUUGAGUGGGUUUUUUCGGAAAAGGAUAUAGUUGAGGGGUCUCCAUACAUUUCCCACCUAUAGAAACCGGAGGUGCGCGGCUACGGCUCGGAAUCCGAGGUUGCGGCGGCGCCGCCUCUUCCCUCCCUUCUCCGAUGGCCGCCGCCGCCGCCGCCGUUCUCCGCAUCCCUCCUCCGCCGCUGAUCCCUCCUCUCCGGCGACUCCGAUACGCGAGCCCCCGCCGCUCCCAUCCGAGUCGACUCGUUUCCUCCGCCUCCGCCGCCGCCGCCGCGCGCUUCGCCUGGGACGACGCCCUUACGCUCGCCGCCGACGAAGGCGGCGGCGCCUCUUCGGAUCUCCGAGGGUUCUUCGAGCGGGUUCGAACCUGCAAUCGCGGAUCCGUGAGUUAUUUGCCAUUUCCAUUUGAGAUCUUGUAAAAAAUGCAUGGGGAGCUCUUCAACCACAGGCGUUUUUGAAGUUAUUUUAUCAGAUAAAUUGCGAAUUUUGCCGAAUUUGAUGGUGAGUUGAUGAAAUUUAACGUCUCUUUCCUCUUUUUAAGCUGAAAUAGAUACACCUUGUAGGAUUUGCAGCUGUGAAUAACCAAAAAAACAAAAAGAAAAAAAGGGUUUAAAUUUCUAUUUAGGAAAAAAUGUUGAAGGGUCAUAAGUUCAACCAGAAUCGAACCGUAUUAUAGUAAAUGGAUUCUUUUUGUUCUUAAUGUAUGCUCAAUUCAUAUUAUACAUUUUAACCUAUUUGGAAUUUGAGUAAAUGAGUUUGAGCUUGCGACGGUUGAUUUGUCACAUUGGAAUGUGAGCAGGAGUUGAAGUCGGAGUUCGUUCCUUUCUUUGUCGAGGAGCAGAUUGUGGGAUAUGUGCAUAAGGGGUGAGUUUUCGUUUUCUCGUGUACAUCUUUGUUGUUUUUCUUUCUAAAAAUCAUGUUAAAAAUCAUGUUAUGUGAUUCCAAAACAAAGAAGGCAAAUUAAACAUGUAAGCAAAAUGGCUUGAAAAUACGAAGCUGGAUUAAUGCUUGAGUAUGAAGCUUUUAGCUAGCCUUUUUUGAUAAAUUUCACUUGCAAAAAUGGAAAUGCUGAAGCAGAUAUAAAAGGAUCAUUAUUUCUAAUUGAUUUCCGAUAACUUUGUUUCAAUAUCAAUUUGUUUCAGUAAUUUGUUUCUGAGAUCAGUUCUGUGCCCUAAGAGUUUUUCCCCCUAUAUUCUCUUAACUUUAAAGUUGUAUGAUCAAGUGAAUAGCGUUUAAAAAGAUAAAAUAAUAUUUGCAUAUAGCUUUAAAUUUAUGGAAAUUUAUGCUUGUAUUAUCUUACCUGCUUCAGCUUUGUCGAGCAUCUAAGAAAGUUCAAUGAUGUCAUUACUGUUUCCCUGGGAAACAAUGGCCGCAAUUUUGGUGAGCAUAUCACCCUUCAUCCAUCACUUAGAGCACCAGAUGAUAGAACCAUAGCAGUUGGAAACAUCAUCAAGUGUUUAGGAGAACUGAUUCCAGGUAUUCGAAAUGAGGUACUUAUUGUCAUUAUAAAUUUGAUUUGAAACAUCUCUGUUUUAUUUUCCUUUGCAAUGCCUGCUUGUGACAUACACUAGUUUUUAAAUCGUAAAAUUUUGUUUAGUCUAGAAGCAUUUUUGGGGAGUAUUAGUCUCCUAACAACUGAUUAUGCCAAUGCUUUCCAGCUGUACCCAGUCACAUCAUCAUAUGGGAUGCCUGUUUUCUUCUCUUUAGAACGUGCAGCUGCUCCUUACUUUGGUAUAAAGGUUUGUGCUACUUAUUUCACAAAUAUACAACAUUCAUUUUUCUCAUAUUAAUAACUUUUCUUAUUUCUUUUGUAACAUCACCAUUAAGCCAGUGUUUCUGAUUUUCUGCUUUUUUUGUUUUGCUAGUGACCAUAUCAUUCACCACACUUUACAUUUAUGAAACUUACUUUGUGAUUUGUUAAUGUUCACAUUAGACUCUCACUUCAACUUAAGCCUAUUUGAAAGUUGUGGUGAGAGCAGUUAGUUAUGCUAUGCGUUAAAAAUAUUCAGAAAAAGAAUGGCUGUUACUUUCUUUUUUUUUUUUAUGAAGUAAUUAUCAAUCCAAAAUAAGGUGUUCACAAUGAUCCAAAACUUUUGAAAAUUUGUUGGGCCAAGAAGACAAUAAUCAACAAUACAUGGUAGUGCUUAGAAAUUUAUUUUUCGCAGUUGUUUUCAGAUGUUAGCUAUAUCUAGGAAUUGAUUAGGGUUUUGCUGCAGUUGUACCCUCUGUGAAUAUGUGAAAUUUUGCACAUGCGCUAUAAAUUUGGUUUCAUGCAUAGGACCCUGAAAAGCGAAUAUAUUUGCAUUCAUGCUCUUGCUAGGGAUAUGUAUGCAAAAUGGUUUUUGCAUAGAUGCUCUUGUCAGGGACAUGCAUGCAAAUUAAUUAGGUUUUCAACAGUAUGCUUGCAAAUACUAACUUUUCUAAGGUAGUUGCAAGAUGUCACAUAUCUGCUGGAGCAGAGAUGCAAAAGUCCCAUAUAAAUGCUAUGCUUUCACCCAAUGCACAUAUAUUGGGUAUUUUAUAUCUGUAUCCUGGAAAAAUAAAAUGGUGCUUUCCUCUCUUCUCCUUUCCUUCUGUAAUUAAUAGGCUUAUGGAGUUCAUAUGAAUGGGUAUGUGGAGAAGGAUGGCCAAAAGUUUCUUUGGAUUGGUAAGAGAAGUGAUACAAAGCCUACAUUUCCAGGAAUGCUUGAUCAUCUUGUCGCUGGGGGCCUAGUAAGUGUUUCUUUUCUUUUGACUUUUUUCAUGUGCCAGCGUGUGCAAUCAUGAGUGCCUACAAUUGCAAUUCACCAUUCCCAAAUAUUUGUAGAAUUUUCAGUCAAGUAACAGUGGAAAACAAACAAAUUUUCAGUCAAGUAACAGAAUUAUCUGUUAUGUUGCAGAAUAUUCCGUAAAAAGGUCAUAACAGUGUUUAAGUUCUGAUGGAGUAGCAGUUAAACACAAACUACGAAAUAUUAACUAUUGUUCAAGAACCCAUUUCAGAUGCGCAGCAGUUCAGUAGUGUCUAUAAAUUUCUCCCUAUUUGUUUCACGCACAUAAGUGGGAAUAUAGAAUUUCUUAGAGCUUCCAGUCGAUUUGCCUUUUUGUAUUAGUGCAAUUCAUGUUAGUUUAAAUUAUUGCACUAUUCUCCUCUCUGGAAAGUUCAGCCAUAUGGGAUCACCUGCAAGGAGAAUGUUAUCAAGGAGUGCGAGGAGGAAGCAGGAAUCCCAAGAUCUAUUUCAAAUAAGUAUGUUAUUCUUUACCAGUAAAUCUUUAUCCUACACUAUACAAUUUAGCAUUCUUUGCUUUCAAAACAUCUCGUGUCAUGCAUUUGUUAACGGGAAUGUUUAAUUAGUUACCUUUUAUAUUAGUCUUUUGAAUGAGGGUUUUGUUGUCUUAUUAUAUAUAGACAAUGCAAAUAUUUUGAACUAAAGAAGCACCUCAUGCAACUCAAAUUUGUUGUCCAUUUCUUUUAUUUUCAUUUUAUCUGUAUAUGUAUAUGUAAUAUGUUUACUAUGUUAAAGUGAUAUUAUCCAUUUUACAUUUUACUGUUUCCUUUGUUACUAUGGCAUGAUUAAAAUUGUGGCAUAUUUGACGUAAAAUAUAUAAUUUUACAGUGCCAUUCCUGUUGGGGCAGUUUCUUACACAGAUAUUGAAGGCUACAGGUACAAAAGGGAUGUUCUUUUCUGCUAUGAUUUGAGACUUCCUGCAGAUUUCAUUCCCAAAAAUGAAGGCGAGUUUUAUUUUCUUGUUUUCUCAGCACCAAAUUGUGCUAUGAAGUUAAUAUAACAAACUUGAAUAGUCUCUGGCUUUUUUCUGGCAUCGUUUGUUAACAUAAAAGUACCAUAAUUCUUAUUUCCUUAAAAAUCAACUUUUUGCCUUCAUUCAUAUGCAUCGAAUCACUAGGCUCUCUCUCUCUCUCUCUCUCUCUGUAUGUGUGUAAAAGUAAUUUCAUUCAUGCUUUUUUUUUUGGUUUAUUUAUCUAUUAAACUGUGAAACUUAUGCAUUCCCAUAUUCACCCUAAACCAAGAUAUCAUUUUUGCAGAUGGAGAAGUAGAUAGCUUCAGAUUAGUCCCUGUGUCUCAUGUCGCAAAUAUCAUUCAAACGACAGAAUUCUUCAAGCAAAAUUGCAAUCUUGUGAUCAUCGACUUCCUCUUUCGUCAUGGGUAUUCUCCAUGCCCACCUUUUUAUUUUAUUUACAUUUUACAGCUUCACCUGAAAUCCCAGUUUCGCGUUUCCCCCUGAAAUUUAAAACCUGCAUUUGGCCCCAUUUAUAUAUGAGCAAAUUGUUAGAUAUCACCUAAUGGAUUACCGACAAAGAAGGCAAACUAAAGAGAUUAAGUUAUCUCAGUUCAGAAAUAAUACUAAAUUAUCUUAUUGAAUUGUAAUCUUCAGGUACAUAAAUCCCGACUCCUGCGGUUAUUUACAGCUUCUGCAGAGCUUAAGGAGCGGUGACUGCUCCUGAUCCUCCUCCUUUCUCAUUGAGGUUUAGAUGAACUUUUAUGCAGAUAAAAUUUUCAAGUUAUGAAUUUUUUUUUUGUUUUGUUUCAAAAAAAAAAAAAAAACUUCUGUUUUAGUUUUUUUUUUAUUAUUAUUAUUAUAGCUUAAUAUGAAGAUCUGAAGCAGAUAACAAUACCAUGAACCUUCUCUUGUCACAAUACCCGUUGCCGGAAAUGCGAAAAUGCUUUUGCAUAUCUAUUCAAUAAUCUACUCUAAAGCUCAAUAAAUUAGUCAAAAAUAAUAUAGGUUUUCCGGUCGAUUUUUCAUUUCUAUUUUCGCCUUACUGUGAGCUUUGUAUUGUUGAUUUUUCAUUUCUAUUUUCGCCUUACUGUGAGCUUUGCAUUGUUAUCUUUACUCCAACUGAUUCUUGUAUGUAGCAGAGAAACGAAAAUGCUAUAUCUUCAACUACUAAUCUAUCUUUAAAACUCUCUGCUUCUUCUUUUUUUUUUUGUCUUUUUAACUAUGAAUGUUUGGUUUCAGAAUUUUAUGCCUGUGUUUGUUUUGUAUUGUUUUUGUGAUUUUUUUUCUUUCUUUUUUUUUUUUCCUUUUUCAUUCCGAGGCUUCUUAGGCAUCAUUGUUUUCGUUUAAUCAAAUGGGUGAAUUAUGCGAAUUCGUCUUGAACUUUUAUGGUUUUGCCAAUGAGUUAUUAAGCUUUAAAUUUGUAAAAUUUGUCCUCUUAAACUUCGUAUGGUUGUUUAAUAACGAGCUUCCUCUUUUUGUCAAAAUGUCUACAAAGGAAUAAACGGAUGUUCAAAAUAAAAAACUACAAAUUGCCCAUAUUUUUUUAUUUAUAUCGUGUGAAACUAUUUUCUACUCGAAAGUAUUUUGUGUGGCAUUUUUUUUGAAAAAAAAAAAAAACUCUUUUUGUUCUGAAAAAUCUUUUGACCUCUUUUUGAGAAAUCAAACAUGGAAUGAAAAUUUGAAAAAGUUCGAACUUAACGUGCAAAUUUUAAAAUUUUGUCACGUAUUUAAAAAUGUGAGAAUUGAAAAGUAGUUAAAAUAGAGGGUGCCAUAGUAAGUGGUUUAUGGUUGACGUGGUGCACCGGCUCCAGAAAGAAUCCCUCUCGAGUUCAAAUGAGUACGCAUGCGACGAUAACGGCUAAUAACGGAAUUAACGGUAUAUUUAUUUUUAUCCUCCUAGUUUUUUUUACAUUUAGCACUCUCAAAACUUCCUUUUUUAAUAAAUAGUUCUAACAAAUAUAUAUUCUCAUAGAUGAUUCUCAUCCUGCCACAAAAUACAGUAAAUUCUCGUGUUUAAAUACGGUCACUGAAUUAUCAUAUUUUUUUUUAUAAUUUUUAUUUUCAUUUUUCUUCCUUUAAAUUUUAUAUCUUUCUAUUAUAGUAAAAAGUAUAAAAAGGAACUUAUUGAAUAAAAGUAUAAAAAAAUAUAUAUAUAGUGAAUUGGUGAUACGGUUACUGUGUUUAAACACGAUGACUAAAUUACUAGAUUAUUAUGUUUACCUUAAAAAUACAAACAUGGCUCUCUAAUCUUCAUCGUGACGCUUGUGUGGCAAAAAGAGGACUAUAUCUGUAAAUAUAAUUUUAUAAGCCCUUUUGUAAAAAAAAAUAAAUUUUGUAGGGGCCGUGCCGAAAAAAACCCUUAUCCUCAUAAUCCAUCAACGUACGCACUGGCGCCGAGUCAACGAACGAGCUACUAAAACGCCCGAACACUUAUUUCUAUGCGGGAACGACAUCCACCGUCCAUUUCCCCUCAGAAACCAUCUCGACUCUCGUUCCCAUUCUCCCGCGCACAAAAACUCCUAUGCGUGAACUAUAUAUAUAUACGGACGAAUCCAUUUCCCCUCUCCUUCUCCUCUUCCUCCUCCCCAAUUCCCCCUACCAAAUUAAAUCCCCAACAAUUACGAUCCAAAAUUCGUUGUUUUCUUCGAAUUAAUCACUAUUUUGAUCGUGUUUUUGGCGAAUAUCGGAACGUUUGCGUAGCUUUUUGGGCCGAAUUUGGGGAGAUUGAGCUUGCGAUUAGGUUUUAGGAUUAGGGUUUGAUUGGGGAUGGGGGUGGAUUACUACGACGUGUUAAGCGUGGAUCGGAGCGCGUCGGAUGAGGAUUUGAAGAGGGCGUAUCGGAGAUUGGCGAUGCGGUGGCACCCCGACAAGAAUCCCGGCGACAAGAAGGAGGCCGAGGCCAAGUUCAAGCAAAUCUCCGAAGCCUACGAGGUGAUUUGCUUUUGAUCGAUUAAUCCCUCAGUUUAUAGCUUUUUUUUUUUUUCUGUUUCUUAAAUGUUUGAUUAGUUAAUCUUGGUAAAAUUUUGUUUUGAAUCAACUGAGUUCGUUAAAUUAACCAGAGAUUUUACAGAAAUUUAAUAAUAAUUUUGACAAAUGUAAUGAUUUUAUCAUGUUUUUAGAUAAUAAAUGUUGAGGAGUCAUUAAUUUUGAUGAAAUCCCUAUUUAAUUCAAUAAGUGCGUAUCAAGGAGUUUAAUUAUUUGGUUAAAGGAUUGAUCUGUAAUGUGUAAUUAAUCGAAAUCUAUAUUUUCUGAUUUUUGAUGAAAAUAUUAAUGAGUCUCCUAUGCAAAUGUAGUGUAUUUGUGAGAUGCUUAUUAUGUAGCAUGAUUAUUCUAGUUUAGAAGAAAAGAAGCAGUUUACAAAUCUUUUAUAUAAACAAUUCUUUGUACUUCGCUGUUUAUUUGCAUAGUUAUGUCCCUGCGUUGCGCAAUUUCUCGCAUCUUAUUUGAUGAUGCUUUAAAUUUAGGUUCUGAGUGAUCCUCAGAAGCGGUCGGUUUACGAUCAGUAUGGAGAAGAGGGUUUGAAGGGAAUGCCCCCUCCCGGCUCCGCUUCUGGCGGGGAUAUCCAUUUCAACCCUCGAAACGCUGAGGACAUUUUCGCAGAGUUUUUCGGGAGCAGCCCCUUCGGGUUCGGAUCCAUGCGGGCGAAGUCCAUGAGGUACCAACCGGACAGCAAUGGCUUUUUUGGGGGCUUCGGGGGAGGCGAGAGCGUGUUUCGGUCGUACAGCGAGGGGGUCGGAGGGGCUGCCGCAGGCGGCCAGUUGCGGAAAGCACCGGCGGUCGAGAGUAAGCUGGCGUGCAGCCUCGAAGAGCUCUAUACUGGUUCGACGAGGAAGAUGAAGAUCUCAAGGAAUGUCGUAGAUGCCCAUGGGUAAAAUCCUCCUAUCCACCAUCCACUACGCACUCUUGGUGUGCCCCGAAGCUAAAUGAGCUUUUGAUGCUCAAAAGCAGAAGCUCCAGAUGAGGCUAGCUUCUGUUUCUGCUGUUGCGAGAAGCUGAGGAAGAAGCUUUUUAGUGAGGAAAUCUAUGAGUACUUCUUUGAACAACAGUUAAACAGAAGCUCCGGACUUAUCUUGUUUCCUUGUUAUCGCACACCAUGCUUUUUCGCAUCAAACUCUCUUACUACCUACUAUCAAAACCCUAGAUUAUCUCGAACGAAAAGAGAAUGUCGAACUCAUUUAUAUUUAAAAUUUGCAGGAGAAUGAGAACCGAGUCAGAGAUAUUAACCGUCGAAGUGAAGCCCGGGUGGAAAAAGGGCACAAAAAUCACUUUCCCGUGUAAGGGAAACGAGCAGGCGAACCAACUUCCCGCGGACCUAAUCUUCGUGAUCGACGAGAAACCCCACGAAAUAUACAAAAGGGACGGUAACGAUUUGGUGGUGAAUCAGAAAAUCCUACUAGUCGAAGCACUAACAGGAACGACAAUCGAUUUGUUGACACUCGACGGCCGCGAUUUAUCAAUCCCGGUGAACGAUGUAGUUUGCCCGGGAUACGAGCUUAUAGUUAGGGACGAGGGGAUGCCGAUAGUGAGGGAGCCUGGAAAGAAGGGGAACCUGAGGGUCAAGUUUGAUGUUCAGUUCCCGUCGAGAUUAACUUCCGAGCAAAAGGCGACUCUAAAGCGCGUUUUCGGAGGCUAAUUUGAUGAAGGAUGGUAAUUACUAAACCAUUUUUGAAGCUCGACAAAAUCUCAGAAAUUCAUUUCUUAGAGUUGCGAAUUGUAACUAUAAAUUUUUCGAUUUUACCAUGUAACAAUUGAUUACACUGUGGAUGAUUCUUUCACAUGAAUAGCGAUUUUUGUGUAAAAAAAAUUGCACUGCCAUUUUUGUUUGUGUUCUCAAUCUUUAGUUUUGCUACAAUUGUGUUCGUAAUCUUUACAUUUUCUCGCAAAUUUUAGUUCUUAUAUGCGCAUUUCCUGAUUAAAACAAACAACAAUGUCCUUGUAACGUCUAAUUAUGUGAUAAGUUCGAUUAUCGAUUGCUACAUUGAUCCUGUUCAAGCGCAGCUCGAGAUCGAACCUGGGACGGAGUCAUAAAUUGCCAAAUUACCUUCUUAUUACUCGUGUUUUUAGUUCAUGGAGAGGUUGAGGAUUUGACGCUACUCCUCUUAGGAAAACAAGAAAAAAAAAAUGAAAACAACCCAAACCAUGUCGGGUUUAGGUUCAAACAGAUUAACCAUAUCGGGUCGGGUCAAAUCAACCCAACCCAACGAGCUUGGGUCAAGAUCCGACCCGUCACCGCACCCAACAAGCAAUGUUAUUAUUAGUACACUUAUAUGUAU
rnacentral:lncRNA from 1 species